ensembl:lncRNA
CCUGACCCCACCCCAAAGCUGUCUCCAUUCUCCCACGGCCCCCCCCCCAUCGCUGCUCACAAACCCCCAUUUUGGGGCCACCGAUGGCGCAGGAUUUCCUCCCCCCAUAUCUGUCCCCACACACAGCGCCCCAUAGGGUGGUUAUGGGGUGGGGCUGUGGGUCCGGGGGGGGGGAUGGGCGCUGUGCCACACAAAGUCCCCUUUGUGCCCCCCCCGCUUUGUCCCUAUGCAAAAAUGCCCUUUUGGGGUGGGGACAUCACACGGGCACUCCAACCCUACAGAUCAAUGGGGCGGCCCCACAACCGCACGCACCCAAAGCUGCUGGGGGGGGGGGGGGGGGGGGGACGGCCCCCCCCAACCCCCCCUAAUUAACUCCGGGGGGGGGGGAAAGGAGGCGGCGUUUCCUCAUUAGGGCCGUGGAUGAGCUCUGCUGCCCCUUAAUGGGGCUUUAAUUGGCGCCCUAAUUGGGUUUGGGGACGCAGCGCAGGAAGGCAGCGCUCCACCAUGGAUGGCUCUGCUGGGAGGGGAAGGGGGGGGACCCUAAAAUCCCCCCCGUGGGACCCCAAAACUGCAGCGCGGGGACCCCCAGAACUGCGCUAUGGGGGACCCCAAAAACAGCACUACGGGGACCCCCAGGAGGGCACUAUGGGGGACCCCAAAAAGUGGACUAUGAGGACACCAGGAGGGCCCUAUGGGGACCCCAAAAACUGAGCUAUGGGGGGACCCCAAAAAGUGCACCGUGUGAAGCCCAAAAACUGCGCUAUGGGGGACCCCAAAAAGUGGGCUAUGGGGGACCCCAGGAGGGCACUGUGGGGGGGACCCCAAAAAGUACGGCAUGGAGGACCCCUAAAGGUGCACUAUGGGGGACCCCAGGAGGGCACUGUGGGGGACCCCAAAAACUGUGCUAUGGGAAUCCCAGAACUGCGCUAUGGGGGACCCCAAAAAGUGGCCUAUGGGGACCCCCAGAAUACCGUGGGGACCCCAAAAACUGCACUAUGAGGGACCCCACAAAGUGCAUGACUGGGACCCCAAAAACCGCUCUAUGGGGUCUCUGAGAACUGCGCUUUGGGGGACCCCAAAAACCGCUCUAUGGGGUCUCUGAGAACUGCACUUCGGGGGACCCCAAAAACCGCUCUAUGGGGUCUCUGAGAACUGCACUUCGGGGGACCCCAAAAACCGCUCUAUGGGGUCUCUGAGAACUGCACUUCGGGGGACCCCAAAAACCGCUCUAUGGGGUCUCUGAGAACUGCACUUCGGGGGACCCCAAAAACCGCUCUAUGGGGGGACCCCCCCAAGGAGAGCACUGUGGGGUCCUCGAGAAGCGCACGGUGGGGAUCCCCAAAAGGUUGACUACACGGACCCCAAAAACUACGGCAUGUGGGACUCCGGGGGGCACCGCGGGGACCCCAAAACUGCAAAGGGGACCCCAAAACCGCACCAAAGGGGACCCCCAGAGGGGCACUGUGUGCCCCCCCGGCCCCACAGCUCUGUGGGAAGCAGUGCCCGCAGUGACUCAGCACAGCACAGCCGGCCCCAUAGCCGCCCCAUAGCACAGCUGCCCCAUAGCCACCCCAUAGCCGCCCCAUAGUGCACAGCCACCCCAUAGCUGCCCCACAGCCACCCCAUAGCGCACAGCCGCCCCAUAGUGCACAGCCGCCCCAUAGUGCACAGCCGCCCCAUAGCCAUCCCGUAGCUGCCCCAUAGCACACAGCCACCCCAUAGCUGCCCCAUAGCCGCCCCAUAGUGCACAGCCGCCACAUAGCCAUCCCAUAGCCGCCCCAUAGCCCACAGCCAGCCCCACAGCGCACAGUCACCCCAUAGUUGCCCCAUAGCACACAGCCGCCCCCUAGCCAUCCCAUAGCCGCCCCAUAGCUGCCCCAUAGCACACAGUCACCCCAUAGCCGCCCCAUAGCGCACAGCCGGCCCCAUAGCUGCCCCAUAGCACACAGCCGGCCCCAUAGCCGCCCCAUAGUUGCCUCAUAGCUGCCCCAUAGCACACAGUCACCCCAUAGCUGCCCCAUAGCUGCCCCAUAGCACACGGCCGCCCCACACCCAGAGCUCUGGUGGGGCUGAUAAGGCAGCACAGCCGGCUGUGGGGCCGGAGAUACCCACAGGCACCGAAAGGGGGGGGGACCUCCGCCCCACACAUCGCUUCGGGGUCCCCAUAGGAUCUCCGCCCCACACUUUUGGGGCUCUCUGUAGGAACUCCGCCCCCCGCGCGGCACUUUUGGUACAGCGCACAUUUCCCUUUUGAAACCACAACCGCCAAAUGCGGCCCCGAAACCGCGACCCCAAAACCCACAGAACCUCAACUGCCCCCCCGGGAAACUGCCAUCUAUGGGGCAGGUGUGGGGUUCGCAUGGGGCAGCUCAGCCCCACAUCACUGCGAUCUAUGGGGCGGAUGUGGGGUCUGCAUGGGGCAGCUCAGCUCCACAACAUUGGGAUCUAUGGGGCGGAUGUGGGGUUCGCAUGGGGCAGCUCAGCCCCACAUCACUGCGAUCUAUGGGGCAGGUGUGGGGUUUGCAUGGGGCAGCUCAGCCCCACAUGAUGGGGAUAUACGGGGCAGAUGUGGGGUUUGCAUGGGGCAGCUCAGCCCCACAUCACUGCGAUCUAUGGGGCAGAUGUGGGGUUUGCAUUGGGCAACUCAGCCCCACAUCACUGGGAUCUAUGGGGCAGAUGUGGGGUUUGCAUGGGGCAGCUCAGCCCUACAUCAUGGGGAUCUAUGGGGCAGAUAUGGGGUUUACAUGGGGCAGCUCAGCCCCACAUCACUGCAAUCUAUGGGGCGAUGGGUUUGCAUGGGACAGCUCAGCCCCACAUCACUGCGAUCUAUGGGGCAGAUGUGGGAUUUAUGGGGCGGAUGUGGGGUCUGCAUGGGGCAGCUCAGCCCCACAUCACUGCGAUCUAUGGGGCAUAUAUGGGAUUUAUGGGGCAGCUCAGCCCCACAUCAUGGGGAUCUAUGGGGCAGCUGUGGGGUCUGCACGGGGCAGCGGAGGGUCGGCCCCACAGAAUCAGUGGGGCUCCGCACCCCCGGGGCGGGGGGGGAUCCCACGGGAGCCGCAGCCCCACAGGGACGUGGCAGAGGGGGACGCGGUGUGGGGCGGAGCGGUGCGGGGGGGGUGGGGGGGUUAAGGCGGAGCGGAGCGGAGCACUGUGGGACGGGACGGGGGGGGGGGGACGACGGGCACUCCCUGCCCCACUGCGGGCGUCUGUGGGGCCGGGAACGCUGCGCCCCACGGAGCGCUGCUAUGGGUCCCGGCCCCACAUUGUCCCUAUGGGUCCCCAACCGCACCGGCGUUAGGAAAGCGACGCCCCGCGGGGCCGCACUCCCAACACCUUUAUGUGCCCAACGCUGUGGGGCCGAGGAGACAACGCCCCACUGCCACACCGGGAACCCACUGCCCCACAGCCCGCCCUAUGGGUCCCGGCCCCACUGCGAG